rnacentral:rRNA from 1 species
ACGCNGCGGCAGGCCUAAUACAUGCAAGUCGAACGGUAACAGACCUGGCAACAGGUGCUGACGAGUGGCGCACGGGUGCGUAACACGUAUGCAACCUACCCUGUACGGGGGGAUAACCCUGAGAAAUCGGGGCUAAUACUCCACGGUAAUAUAGAUGGGCAUCCAUUUAUAUUUAAAGAUUCAUUGGUACGGGAUGGGCAUGCGCCCCAUUAGUUAGUUGGUGAGGUAACGGCUCACCAAGGCAUUGAUGGGUAGGGGUUCUGAGAGGAUUAUCCCCCACACUGGUACUGAGACACGGACCAGACUCCUACGGGAGGCAGCAGUAAGGAAUAUUGGGCAAUGGAGGCAACUCUGACCCAGCCAUGCCGCGUGCAGGAAGACAGCCCUAUGGGUUUUAAACUGCUUUUCUACGGGAUUAAUCGCCUUUACGAGUAGAGGUUUGCAAGUACCGUAGGAAUAAGCAUCGGCUAACUCCGUGCCAGCAGCCGCGGUAAUACGGAGGAUGCAAGCGUUAUCCGGACUUAUUGGGUUUAAAGGGUGCGUAGGCUGACAAGUAAGUCAGUGGUGAAAUGCUCCGGCUUAACCGGGGACUUGCCAUUGAUACUGUUUGUCUGGAGUGUAUUGGGAGACAGCGGAACGAGGGGUGUAGCGGGUGAAAUGCAUAGAUAUUCCUCAGAACGCCGGAUAGCGAAGGCAGCUGACUACGAUAUAACUGACGCUGAAGCACGAAGCGUGGGGGAUCAAACAAGGNAUUAGAUACCCUGGUNAGUCCACGCUGU